rnacentral:lncRNA from 13 species
AUGAGAGCUCUGCCCUCAUGGUUAGGAUAAAUGCCCUUUUAGAAAACACUUCAUAGAGCUGCCUCCCCACUCCCAUGCCUUCUACCCAUUUGAGGACACCUAGACCACAUCGUCUCUGAGGAAUGAGCCUUUUCCUUUCCUAUUCUCCUUCUACCAUGUGAGGACGUAGCUUUACUUUCUGUUCCAUAGGAUGCAACAAUAAGGUACCAUCUUGGAAGCAGAAAGCAGAUCUCACCAGAAACCAAAUCUGCCAGCACCAUGAUGUUGGAUUUCCCAGGCUCCAGAACAGUUUGUUUUUCUUCAGGAAAGGAAAUCAGAUACAACAUAUGUCUUGUGUUUCAUGAUGUCUUUUUAAAAAUUUUUUGACAACCUGGGUGAUACACCAUGCAGGAAGGGCAAGAGUAAUGAUGAUCUACACCACAUGGUGGAUACACGGACACGAAGGGUUUGAUCAGCAUUGAAAGCCGGCACUCAAAGUUCUCAUAUUGAAUAUUAGGUCCAGGCAUGGAGUGAUAUUGUAUAUUUAUAAAUAUUUGCAAAGAAAUCCACCAAAGUUUGGAGGUAAGUUAUUAAAUA